rnacentral:rRNA from 1 species
UACGUAGGGUGCAAGCGUUGUCCGGAAUUAUUGGGCGUAAAGAGCUCGUAGGCGGUCUGUCGCGUCGGCUGUGAAAACCCGGAGCUCAACUCCGGGCCUGCAGUCGAUACGGGCAAACUGGAGUACUGCAGGGAGACUGGAAUUCCUGGUGUAGCGGUGAAAUGCGCAGACUAUCAGGAGGAACACCGGUGGCGAAGGCGGGUCUCUGGGCCGAUAACUGACGC